rnacentral:lncRNA from 1 species
ACGCAGCAAAACACAAUCCAAAGCGUGUUCAUCCAAUCAUUCUCUGUUCCGCUCUCUCACCCCAGCGAGAUGGCCGGAUCAGGAGACGAGCUGAUGCUGCUCGGCAAAUGGCCAAGCCCAUUCGUCACCAGGGUUGAGCUCGCGCUCGGCCUCAAGGGCCUCAGCUACGAGUACGUCAAGCAGGACCUCGUCAACAAGAGCGAGCUCCUCCUCGCCUCCAACCCGGUGCACAAGAAGAUCCCCGUGCUCAUCCACAACGGCAAGCCGGUCUGCGAGUCGUCAAUCAUCGUGCAGUACAUCGACGAGGCCUUCCCCGACGCCGGCGCCGGCGCCGCCCUGCUCCCCGCCGACCCCUACGAGCGCGCCGUCGCUCGCUUCUGGGUCGCCUACGUCGACGACAAGGUAGGAUAGCUAAGCUACCUUUCCUUCAUUUGUGUCACAGUUCGAGCUGUUAUCUCAAAACACAAAUAUUAGGGAAUGAUCUAAUAUCAAAUAAUUCGAAGGAUGAUGCUCUAAACCCAAAUCGGCUAGCCCACUACCUUGUGAAACUAGCCAGAAAACUCCCGGGCAUUUCUCUCGAGGUUUUUAUCUCACUGAUGCGAUGAUGUGUUGGGUGGCGCGUGCGUGCAGUUCGUUCCGGCAUGGGUGGCGACGUUCAGAGGCAAGACGGAGGAGGAGAAGGCGGAGGGGAUGAAGCAACUGCUCGCGGCGGUGGAGACGCUGGAGGGAGCCCUGAAGGAUUGCUCCAAGGGGAAGCCCUUCUUCGGCGGCGACACAGUCGGGAUCGUGGACGUCGCGCUUGGUGGCCUCAUCUCGUGGGUGAAAGCGACCGAGGUGCUCGCUGGCUCCAAGAUCUUCGACGAGGAGAAGGCCCCUCUUUUGGCCGCGUGGGCGCAGCGCUUCGGCGAGCUCGACGUCGCCGAGAAGGUGUUGCCGGAUGUCGACGGGGUGGUCGAGUUCGCUAAGAUGAGGCUGGCAGAGGCAGCUGCGGCUGCCGCGGCGGCUUCAAAAAACUAAGAUGGAUAUGUUUGGUUAUGUCGUGGUAACUCCCAUUGUUUGGGAGAAAAUAAUGUGCUUGUUGGAAAAAUUAUUUGGGAGAAACUAAUGUGCUUGUUGGAAAAGAAUAGAUUUAGUUGAUUUAGUGUUUUUUCUGUAUCAGUAUCUUGAUUUAUGUCUGAAUAAUGCAAGGAAUAUUCAAUGAAGUCAUGAAGAUGCUUGUCCUCUGUUUAUUCAGUAGUUAGGGGAUCUUUUUCUUCUGUUGGUGUCUAUUAGUUUGUGUUUGCUUAGCUUUGUUUAUACUAUCGUGAACUUUCUAUAUAAGUUUUUUUCUGUGUGAGUUCUAAAAUAAUUGACUAUAACUCUUUAAGUAAAGGCCGGAAUGUUUUAUUCUAUUAUUAAAAAAAAAAUGAAGAUGCUUGUCCUCUGUUUUCUCUGUUACUCGCUGUUGGCCCUGUUGCCCUUCAGAGAUUUUGCAACUUGCACGGUUGUUUUGUUCUCCUGUAUUUAUCCAUUUCCUUCAUUGAAAAUUCGGCAGUGUGUAGUAGGAAUUUUUUUUCCAUCACUUUGUCUUUUUUUACCAUUCAAAAGUUUAUUGGUUGGGUACCUACGACAGAGACAGGGACGUAACCCAUUUUUUUUCUUUAUAAAAGAGCCUAUAGGGUGAAGUUUUAUCUCAAAUAUUGUGGAUUCCGCCCCCAUUCCUUUUAGCUUGUUUAUCAUAUCAUUGUUGCGAUUUAUUUACUCCAUAUUUCUAAAAGUAUGAUUUCUCAAAAAAAAAUUCUUAUAUGGUGUUAGCAGAUCACUUGUUGUUACGAGCUAUUUAUUAAUUUUAUUUUUUAUUAAAGUACUUAAUUAUCCUGAUAGAUAUCUGUGAUACUAAUUCGGUGAAUAAUUUGUUCCAAGCAUUGCAACUACUCAUACCAUUUAAUUAUUCAGAUGAAUCGUAUGUUCUAUGGUGCUUGUACCUUUAAUUUUGGGAACUUUUACAGUAUAUAGUGGUAAAAUAUAUCACCAAUAUAAAUAAUCCAAGAGUUUAGAUUGAUUUGUUCUCUCACUUAAAUAGUUUGUAGUAUAAAAUUAAAAGGGUAAAAAUAUUUUCACUAUUGGGUGUAAAUUCGUAGAAUAUAGUGUGAAACAAUACUACGUGUUUUCACUAAUCGAUCUCAUUCCUUAUUCCUCAUCAUCCUUCACCACGAUGAGACGCCAGCAGCCACCAUGAGUCCACGCGCGCCAACACCUUCAUAGCCAAGUAAGCCAACCACCACAUUUUUAAUCUUGUGGCAAAAUUUUAAAAUAUUUAUAUUAUAUUGACGGUAUAUAUUUUCUUGUAAUUUUACACUAGGGAUGUAUGUUGACAUCUUUAGUGAUACUCAGGGCCGGAUCCAGGAAAAAAAAUUAGAAGAGUUCAGUUACAUAGUUUAUUCAAUCUCCAACCAUUUAGAAACCUUUAAUUUAUCAAUUAUGGUGAAAAAAUCGAAGGGGGUGUUACGGAGAUAUCCAUGGGUCUUAUGAGUAUAGGGGAGACUCCACGUUGGAUCCACCCCUGGUGACACUCUCUUAUUCCCAAAAGCCAAAAUACAUGCAUGCGGAUAAUUGUGAAAUAAUUUGCGAAAAAUAUUACUAAGGUUUUGUAAUCAUUUCUUGUGCCCCAAUGCACAAACACCCACAAGUGCCCGCGAUGUCCAUGUCAUCCACUGCCACUGGUUUUGUUCUUGGGCUCUCAAAACUCACAGGUCAAAGUAAACGUACUUUAACUGGUAAAGCAAAGCGAUACUAUGACGGGGAGCAGCGCCAUGAUCUGUAGGUUUGUUUAAUUUAAUGCCCCAGAUCCUAAGCUUCCUCUUCUCCAAGAAAGAGUAGAAGACGCAUCUUGACAGUCUCAGAGAUGCUGACUGGAGUAUUUUCAGGAAAAAAAAAAGUGUACUCCAGUUUGAAAACAAUCAGCCUGGUCAAACGUGUCGGUGUCACCAUAUCCGUUUAUUAUUGAUUUAUCUGCACAUGUUUUGACUAAAGUUACUGAUCGCAUGUUUUUGAAUACAUCUGAACACUGAAAAGAGCUUUCGACGUGUUAAAGAGUAGUUGUGGAAACCCCUAUUUCAAUUGUGCAAUCAAGCAUCACUCGUGACGCACUACUAGUCUUCUAUAGCAUAUACAAAUAUUCACGGUUCGUGUUGUGCUCCGAUCAAGUGCUAGCUAGCUAGCAAAAGACAACUCAAGCCAAAACCAUCUCAGAGCUUCAGAGAGGAAGACAAUGGCCGGUGGAGGAGAUGAGCUGAAGCUGCUGGGGAUGUGGGCGAGCCCGUUCGCGCUGCGAGCGAAGCUCGCGCUCAGCUUCAAGGGCCUGAGCUACGAGUACGUCGAGGAGGAUCUCAAGAACAAGAGCGAGCUGCUUCUCACCUCCAACCCGGUGCACAAGAAGGUACCCGUGCUCAUCCACAACGGCAAGCCCGUCUGCGAGUCGCAGGUCAUCGUGCAGUACAUCGACGAGGCGUUCCCCGACGCCGGCGUUCCUCUCCUCCCAUCCGACCCCUACGACCGUGCCGUCGCUCGCUUCUGGGCCGCCUACAUCGACGACAAGGUAAUCGACGAAUUGCCUCAACCCAAUCGUCUUGAAUUUGCAUCGAAUCGAAAAUGACGAGAUGAACUGAUGCGUUGUGUGUGCAUCGUUGUUGCAGCUGUUGAAGUCAUGGCUGCAGGCGUCGAUGUGCAAGACGGAGCAGGAGAAGGCGGCGGCGAUGAAGGAGACGUUCGCGGCGGUGGCGAACCUGGAGGCGGCGUUCAAGGAGUGCUCCAAGGGGAAGCCCUUCUUCGGCGGCGACGCCGUCGGGUACGUGGACGUCACGCUCGGCGCCGUGAUCGGGUUUGUGCGCGUCGGUGAAGCCGUGCACGGGAUGAGGCUGUUCGAUGCGAGCCGGAGCCCGCUCCUUGACGCGUGGCUGGACCGCUUCGCCGCGCUGGACGCUGCCAAGGCGGUGUUGCCGGACACCGGUAGGCUGGCCGAGUACGCCAAGAUGAAGCAGGCAGAGUGGGCAGCAGCUGCCACCAACUGAGCCAGCAUGGCCACGUCUGGUACUCUCGUGGGGAGAUGAAGUUGGUGUUGGUGUGCCACCCGUACCGUACGUAGCUAGUCCUGUCACACGAUGUGACGACUGUGUGAACUUUGCUACUAUACGCAAUAAAAUUGUGAAGUCGUUAAGUUUUCGUAAGUACACACCGGCAACGUGUAAUGGAAUUAUCUCUACUGGUCGUCCUCCUUAAUUAGUCCUUCACUCCUACCACUACUUAGAAAAUGCAUUUUUCAAAUGUGGGGUUUUUUUUUUCACAGGCGAACAUAACCAUUGAAACCAAAUGACCGCAUACAAAAAUAUAAACCGGGCUGAAGCUUAUUGUCUUGCAGGCGGACCAUUCCGCCUGCAAAUACCCUUUAUUUUCACAGGCGGAUAGUCCGUCUACGAAAAUUAGUGUACAAUAUAAAUAGAGGCGACAUCGGAGCGGUUUUUUUUCCAAGUCCCAUUUCUCCUCUCCUCUCCCGUUCCCCGUUCCCCCUCCCCUCCACCUGUCCUCUACUCUCCCCUUCCCUAACCUCUCCUUUCCCCGGCCGUCGGCCGGAGGCGGCUACAAGGCAGUGGUGGCGCACCCCAGCGAGGGCAGUGGAAGGAGCGGACGCGGGACGGCCAGCGGCGGCUCUCCUCCCUCCCUCCCUCCCAGAUCUGGCCGGAGGGAGGAGGGGGGAGGCCGGUGGCCAGCGGCGCGGGGCGGACCCGUGUCGGGGCGUAGCGUGUGCUCGCUGGCCGGCGACGGUUCGCCUCCCUCCCUCCCAGAUCUGGCCGGAGGGGGGAGGGGGGAGGCCGGUGGCCGGCGGCGUGGGGCGGACAGCGGCGGGGCGCAGUAUGUGCUCGCCGGCCGACAGCUCCCCUCCCUCCCUUCCUCCCAGAUCUGGCCGGAGGGAGGAGGGGGGAGGCCGGUGACCGGCGGCUCGGGUUGGACGGCGGCGGGGUGUGUGGCUGCGACGGCGAGGAGGGCGGAGGCUGCAGCGUCUUCCCUCCCUCCUCCUAGAUCUGGCGGCGCAGAGGGCGGCAGCGGCAUCUCCCCUCCCUCCUCCCAGAUCCGGUGGCACGGAGGGCGGUCGCGGCGGCAGCUACCGGCUGUGAUGGUGGAGGCGGUGGCGUUUGUUUUGAUUUUGAAAGUUAAUUUGUGAUGCGUUUGAUUUGAUUGUGAACUACUAUGAUUCUUCUAUGUUAACUUGUGAUGCUUUUGUGAAUUUGAUUUGGUUUGAUGGGGAAUGGAAACUGGAUUGGAUGGGGGAAUGGGAGGAAAACGGAGAACAGGAAGCUGCUGCUACCGGUCGAAACGGCGGUGGGCGGUGGCUGCCCUUUUUUUUAAUGCUGGGAGCUAUUUUCGCAGGCGUUCAUUUGUAAGCGGACCAGUUGUCCAUCUACAAAAACUUGUUUAGUCCGCCUGAAAAAAUGUUUUUUUUCCAGUUGUUGACGAAAAAAUCGAACACACCGGCCUGGGAGAUCUGCUUAGCUCCUGUGCAGGUCCAAAUCUUGAUGAGAUGCGGGCGUGCCAGUCAGUUUGAUCCUGCAACUGACAAGAUAUGCAAAUAGUAGACCAAAACAGCCGAUCGGCUGACAAGCCGAUGUAGUAGUUCCAGCCGAUAGUGAUAAUAGCUGAUGCCGAUGCCAGCAGAUAGCGAUAGGGUUUAAGCAAUCGGUUAUAUGUCCAAUGUAGAUAAUGAUAUAAAGGCAAUCGGCUGAUGAUGAUGUAAUAAAAUAACAAUAUAAUCCAGUAUAAACCAAUCGGCUAGUAAUAAUAUGAUAAAUAAGCAUCGAUCCGAAGGUUAAAGUACACAUCGGCUGGAGGUCUGAUGUCAUGAAAUCCACAAUAUUAGAUUAAACAGUAAAACCUUUGUUGCGAUAAGCUAAAUCCAAUAUGUAUGCAAUCCUUAUAAGCCGAUGCAACAUCCAGAUAACUCAUCGGCUGAAACCCCGAUGAAACCCUUAUUGGCAAUCAAAAAGUAGGCUAGAGAUUAUGGUUCUAAACACGACUUAGUAGAUCAAACUUAACUGAUGCAGCACUAAGUAUGAAAAGAAACAUAAUAUCUAGACAAUCAAGCCGUUGACUGAGUUUUCAGGGUGGUAGAUGUCUAAGCUAAUCUAAUCUAGCAACACGAUUUAGCCGAUACCGGCAGAAACCCUAAAGCGAGAAGCAGCCGAUAGAGGUAAAUUGAUAUGCUAAGACUAGAUUAACAGAGACAUAUGAUAAAUAGGUAGACAAAUAUAUCAUCCAAACCGGAACAAUCCAAGAGGUCGAAUGUAUUGAUGCAGCCUUGAACGACGCUGAUGUAGAUGAUACAAUUUCCUGGACCGGCGGAACAUUGGACUUAUCCCUUCGCCAGAGAUCGAAGACGAUGCAGCCCCGCGUCGGGUGCCAAGUCCCGCCGGACGAUAAAAUAAAGUAGAAAAGGUAAAAGGUGGCGAUGCGCCGAAUUGUAUUGAUCGUGAAGAUAGAUUACAUAGGUCCCGGGUGCACAUAUUUAUACCCGUGGGUUGAUACAAAUCCUUGUCGGAGAAGAAAGAAAAAUUCCUAAAGAUAAAAGGAAAAGAUAAAGUCCUUAUAGGACACUAAACACACUUUCCUAACGGUAAAAGGAAACUAACAAACUGUUCUUAAUUAAUAGAUAACUUGCCAUGCCGCAUCCUCUUUGAACUUGGUCUCUUCUUGAUAAGCUUCCUUUAGUAGAUCAAUUUCCUUAACCGAAUAUAGCAAGAAUCCGACAACUGACGACUUGACAACUCUCAUCGGCUAAUCUAAGGACUUCGAAGCCAAUGACUACUCCGGGCUUACCAAAUUUCACUGUUAACACAUGCCCCCCAGUUUUGGAGUAUGAGAAUUCAUGCUUCAAAAUUUCUUGUCUUGAUAACUCCAAAACCGAUCUUCCUUCGCUUCUUGCAAUCGGCUUUCAUGAGCUAAUACUGAUGUGCUUCACCAUGCUGAAACUUAUACGCUUGCCCCCCGAGCCGAGAUUGAAUGAUCUUGGCAUUGACUUCUUCUUCAGACAUGUGGAUAUAAAAUUCGUGGUCCCACCAGGCGUGCCAAUCUGUGUUGACGAGAAAAUCGAACACACCGGCCUGGGAGAUCUGCUUAGCUCCUGUGCAGAUCCAAAUCUUGAUUAGAUGCGAGCGUGCCAGUCAGUUUGAUCCUGCAAUUAACAAGAUAUGCAAAUAGUAGAUCAAAACAGCCGAUCGGCUGACAAGCCGAUGGAGUAGUUCCAGCCGAUAGCCGAUAAUAGCCGAUGCCGAUACCAGCCGAUAGCGAUAGGGUUUAAGCAAUCGGCCAUAUAUCCAAUGUAGAUAAUGAUAUAAAGGCAAUCGCCUACUGAUAAUAAAAUAUAACAAUAAUAUAGUCCAGUAUAAAUCAAUCGGCAAAUAAUAAUAUGAUAAAUCAGCAUCGAUCCGAAGGUUAAAGCACACAUCGGCUGGAGGUCCGAUGUCAUGAAAUCCACAAUAUUAGAUUAAACGGUGAAACAUUUGUUGUCAUUGGCUAAAUCCAAUUCAUAUGUAUAUGCAAUCCUUAUGAGCCGAUGCAACGUCCAGAUAACUCACCGGCUGAAACCCCGAUGAAACCCUUAUUGGCAGUCAAAAAGUAGGCUAGAGAUUAUGGUUCUAAGCACGACUUAGUAGAUAAAAUUUAACUGAUGCAGCACUAAGUAUGAAAAAAAACAUAAUAUCUAGACAAUCAAGCCAUUGACUGAGUUUUCAGGGUGGUAGAUGUCUAAGCUAAUAUAAUCUAGCAACGCGAUUUAGCCGAUACCGGCAGAAACCCUAAAACGAGAAGUAGCCGAUAGAGCUAAAUUGAUAUGCUAAGACUAUAUUAACAGAGACAUAUGAUAAAUAAGUAGGCAAAUAUAUCAUCCAAACCAGAGCAAUCCAAGAGGUCGAAUGUACUGAUGCAGCCUUGAACGACGCCGACGUAAACGAUACAAUUGCCCAGGCCGGCGGAACAUCGGACUUACCCCUUAGCCGGAGAUCGAACACCGAUGCAGCCCCGCGUCAGGUGCCAAGUCCCGCCGGACGAUAAAAUAAAGUAGAAAAGGUAAAAGGUGGCGAUGCGCUGAAUUGUAUUGAUUGUAGCGAUAGAUUACAUAGACCCCGGGUGUACAUAUUUAUACCCAUGGGUUGAUACAAGUUCUUGUCGGACAAAAAAGAAACUUUCCUAAAGAUAAAAGGAAAAAAUAAAGUCCUUAUAGGACACUAAACACACUUUUCUAAAGAUAAAAGGAAACUAACAAACUAUUCCUAAUUAAUAGAUAACUUGCCAUGCCACAUUCUCUUUGAACUCGGUCUCUUCUGGAUAAGCUUCCUUUAGUAGAUCAAUUUUCUUAACCGAAUAUAGCAAGAAUCCGACAACUGACGACUUGACAACUCUCAUCGGCUAAUCUCUGGACUUCGAAGCCAAUGCUGUCUCUAAGCCGAUGACUACUCCGGGCUUAUCAAAUUUCACUGUUAACCGAUACAUCUAGAUAGCUCGACUAUUGUUGUUCAGAGUAUUGUCAUAAAAUAAAUGAUAUUGCAUAAUGCAAGCAAUCGAUCAUAUCAAACAUGAGUCACCAACCGACGACACCUUUUGUGUGGAUAGUUCUAGAAUUAAGUAGCCCCACAAAUAAUGCAACAAAAGAAAGUAGCCCCACAAGCAACCUAGCAGGAUCCACAUUAAAAGUGCCUCUGGACAAUGUAGCUCUCACACAAAACAACUGUAGCGAUUGAACUACAAUGGGCUAUUGAACUGCUAGAUCACAAAAUAGAUGUUAUUCUCUAUUCCUUUAACUAAUGUAGGAUUGAAAUUUGAAAACUUAAGCCUACUAGAGAUGGUGAUAGGGGAGAACAAAUAAAGAUUCACACCAAAUAAAAGACAAAAAGGGAACUUUUUUCUAUUGUUUUGUCACUGUUUUGAAAUAUAAAAUCAAAUAAAACUAAAACAAAAACUAAGCAAAACUAGAAGAACACGAAAGAGAAUGAGAUUACCACAUUUUCCUUUGUGUAAAGAUGGUAUUUAUUACAUCAAAGUGUUUAUAGUGUGUAUCCAAUUACUCAUCCACUAUACUAGAGAAAAGCACUUUGGUGUUCGUUGGGAAAUUUAAGUAUGCAUAAAUGUGGAUACAACACAGCCAACUGCUACAAUAUUGCACCUAUAAUCACUACGACAUAGGCAGCAACACAACUACUGUAGUAUGGCAGCCGAACAAGCCCAUAGAUGCUGGGAUUUCCUAUCUAGUACCACUCAGGCAGGACUAAUGACCUUGGAUAAUUGGUGUGGUUCCACAGCAAACACCUUUGAGGCACACAUGUGGCAAAAAAAGUCUCAAAUUCUCAAUGCAUGCAUCGGCUCGAUUCCAACCGAUGCAUUGAGUUGCUCCCCGUAACCCCAAAAAAAAAUCGAACAAAAAAAACUUAUGUACAAGCUGAAUCACAAAUUAAAAAAAUAAGACCUGUUGUACAUUCUAAGUCAUGACUAAAUAACAAAUCCAACAAAAAAACUCAUCGUCAUCGAAGGGAUGGGCGGCAACGAUUGGGAAAGGGAAAGGGAACACAACGAGAUCUGGUGGUUAUCGAGCUCGAGACGGCAUCGUCACGUCGCCCUGGUGAGCGGGCCCAGGGGGAGGGGUUGUGCUCUACUUGUUGUACACGGCGAGGUACCUGAUCUUGUUGACGGACCAUGCAGCAGCACCCCCACCAACUGUAGCAUCUGCUUCCCCUUUCCCUUCUCCGCCUCCUCUCCGCCCCUCACUGCCUCCCUCCCACCUCAUGCACGGUGUGCGACGUGAAUGCUGCGCCAUGGUGCCCUGUCACACCCCAAUCUGGCACCGCCGUACAACGGCACCUGACAGGAGCGUGUCGUGGGAAAAACGGCGCGAACUGCUUCCUACGAAACCACGAUCUCAGUACCAGUCCUAGGACAUAGCGCUGGUACCCACGGUGACAAAUAUGAAUCAUUGCAAUCCUUAAAAUAAAUAGAGGACUUAUUUACCUUAACUUAGGUUGCAGCUCAGAACAGCCCGAAAUUGCAACCGACGACACGAACGAGGAAACACCAACAACAGCGGCAGCAGCGGAACCAACGGACUAACACCCAACACCACAGGCGACGGCUGGGAACCAGGACGAAACCCUAAUGUUCACUUUACUUCAUCUUCAACUUCCGGGCGGAGGAACUAUAUAUAUUUAUAUAGAGCAAGGGUGAGUACUUUCCUACUCAGCAAGUCACGGGAAUUUAGGUGUUUAAUGCAAGCUUGGAAGAGAGGCAAGGUUGUUUUUGCAAAUCUUUUGUUUUGAAAUCAUUUUGAAAUCACUAAGUGAUUUAUUUCUUUCUAAGUUUGGGCCGAAAAGAGACUUGCGUCUCGAUUCGACUUUAAGAGAGAUGUUUUUCAACAGCUCAAUUGGUAAUGUACCGACCUCCCAGGUCAGAUCAUUACUUCUCGGCUCCCAGAGCCAUUCCACUUGAUUAAUCGGCUCCCAGAGCCUUUUUCAUUUUCUCGGACUCCCAGAGUCCAGCUGCCCAGCAGCACAACAAUCCGCUUCCACUCAGGAAGCCUAGUCUAUGAUGCCCGUAGACAUCCCGAAUCACACAGAUUCAUUUCUUGACCACUCAGGUCAUCCAUCUGCCACAUAGGCUGAUUCUGGUAACGAUUCCCACACCAGAACAACUUUUCACAAGGCACAGGCAAACAAAUCUACGCUACAGGAAACACCUCACAUCCGCCCUUGACCGCGGGCACAGCUGUUCGAACAGUUAUUUAACCUCUGCAGAGGGGGUACACUUUACCCACACGACAUUACUAACCCGGAUCACCCAACCCGUGAGAUCAGCCACGUCGGGAGACCUUAAGGCUUUCAUGACAAGGCAUUUCGAAAGUCGACACAGGUUCACCAUAUGCCAACGAGAGGGGUCCCAGACCAACACCAGAUUAGGUCCCAGACCAUACUGUGCCAGGAAGCCCGAGGGUUCUCCCCGACACCACCCCGUUGAAUCCACGUGUCUCUUGGCAUCAUGGCUCCCCCGAUUAGCUAAUUACUCAGCCAGGGGCGUCCCAUUGCACCCGUGUGGUCGCACUUAUUAUAUGCUCGGAUGAAUUUCCCACAGGAAUCGGUCCUUAUAUGCGAAUACAGGAUAGUACCACAUAGGCACAACCCCCGCAUCGCGAGUUUUCACAGUCUAUUUUGUUUUCAAACACACCAACGCCACAUGUUGGGUUUUCAAGGCUUCUCAAACCCAUUUCCCAAAUUAUCGACAAACAACGGUGUAUGUGGAAUAGUUGGUAUACACACUCAGAGAACACGGAUACCGAAGUACCACAAAGGUGGAACGACAAGGAAUCAGGGUAGAACAACCUACAGGAAUUAGUGCGACUACUGGGUAGGUCCGUCGGUUUGGCACGCAAACCGAGGCCAAGCAAGUUAAGUGUGUGAUUCUACUAAUGCAAGUUGCAAACAAAAUAAUAAUGAUUUUCCAAUUAUAGGAGCAAUUGGUCAAAGGGUGACUUGCCUUGCUCAAGGUCUUCACGAAGCUUCACGAAUCUUCGAGAAAACCCGCGAUCGACGAAAAUCCGGUAACCGCAACUAUACGCAAACAAUUGAAAACCUAAACAAAAGACCAAAAUAAAGAUCCUAUUUAGACUAAUUAGUAGUUCCAUUGAAUAGAUCUCAAUUUUAUGGAAAUACUGGAAGUUGAACGGAGUCAAUCAGAGCUACGGAUUGAGAGAUAUGAAUUUUGGAAGUUUAAUUGGAAUUUCUGGGCAAAAGAAGAUAUUUGUGGAACAAGGGGAAAUUGAUUUAUGAAAUUUAUAGAAAUAAUAUUCUCAAGAAUAUUAUUGACCGUCACUGACGUGCGGGACCAAGGAAAUGAUUUAUGGAAUUUUGGGAAUAAGGAAUUGAUUUAUGGAAUAGGGGAAAAAGGGUUUAUUAAAUCCCUUGAAAAAGAAGGGAGGGAUGCCAUAUAGACUUCCUAGGGCGGCUCAGGCGCGGCCCGAGGGGUUUAUGCGGCUUGGCCGGACCUAAUGGGCCGGCGCGGGCACGGGAGGGGCGGCCCAAGAGAGGGGGCGCGGGGAGAGAGAGGCCGACGCAGGUGGACGCGAUCCACCGCGCGGGACCCACAUGGCGGUGGUUGGGUUCACGGUGGGGAGGGCGCACGCGGGGGCGGGCGCUAGGGUUUCGGAUGCGCGCGGUUCGGGCGCGGCGCACCGGGUGGAUGGAUGGCGGCGGGCCCACGUGCAGCCGCACGGCUUGCCGUGGACCGCGCGCACGGGAGGGAAGACGGAGGGAGGAGGCUGACUGGGCGCGACUUGACCCAGUCAAGCGGGCCCAGGGCUGAGGUGGCUGCCACGUGGUCGGCCACGCGGGCAGGGGUGAAAGGGGAGGAGGAGGAGGAGGAGGCGCCCGGGAUCAGACGGCCGACAACGCGUGAGGCGUUCCGGCGAGCGGUGGCUAACCGGAGCGAGCGGCUACCGCCGGCAGCUAGAGGAGGUCAGGGGGAAUCCAUUUAACGGCACGGAUCUGAGAGGGGAGGUACGACAGUGGCUGGCGGCGGUGACCAAGCUUGUCGGAUCGGGGAUGUGGUCGCGCAAGGGAAGGGACAAGGGGGCGCAAACUCGGGCCUAGCCGAAACGGUACGCGACCGUGAUGCGCACGCGGUGACGCGGGACCCGAUGGUCACCGGCGAUGCACGCGCGGCGUUGUUAUGCGGCGGCGGAAACGGCGACACGACGCGGAGACAAAGGAGAAGGCCGGCGGCCUUGGGGCAGCCAGGGGGAGGUCAAGGGGAUCCCCGGGAGCGUGGCAGCGAGAGGAAUCGGAGCGAAAGGAGCCGACGGUGGUGGAUUGCGGCGGCGGCCAUCGCCGGCGGAGAGAAGGGGAAAUCUCACCGGGGCAACGGGAGUUCGAUUCAAAGGGGUGGGAGCAUCUCUAGGACUUAGGGAUCCCGUUUGUGGCGUCGGAUGGGAUGGGGAGGCGCCGUGGAGGUCCGGCGACGAGAGGCGGUCUCCGAGAGCGGGCGGCAUGUCACGCCCGGAAUUUCUAUCCAAAAUUCCAAACGCUUACAUGUGUGUGAACCCUCGUCCAGGAAUCAGCCGAGGCACACAAUAACAAAUUGAUAAUAGAGUACAAUUAUUACUCUAAUUAAUAAGCGAAUAAAAUGUCAUUACAGAGGUAGAUAGUUCCUCUCAAUCAAUAAAGAUCUAAGCAGCGGAAAAAGAUAAACGGCGCAGACGGCUCCACUCCACAGGCAGCUUGACCAAGGCUACACCUAAUCCUCCACACCAUCAGCAUCACUGUAGAACUCUUCCUCUGAUGAAUGAUUGCAAGGUGAGUAUAUGACAUACUCAGCAAGUCACGCAGCAAAUAUGCAAGUGCACAAGGAUACCAAAGGAUGGCAUAGUAGGGUUUCAUUUGCAAAAGCAGCAUUUAGCAAACAUUUCAGAAUUUAAUAAAACAGUUAAGUAUUAAACAAUAUUAAUCCAACGCUAUACAACAUACCCUGUUGUAUAGGCCCAACCAUUCUGAACAACCAUCCCGGCUGCACAGUUCUAUCUCCAAACCAGGAGCUAAUCAAAUUAUUACCAAUUAAAGCACCUUUUAUUAUGGUGAGAAGGGUGAGACUAAUCACGAAAGAUAUUGUUAGACCCGCCCAUAACCGCGGGCACGGCUAUUCGAAUAGUUUUACUCUGAUCAGAGGUGUACCACUGUACCCACAAGACACAACCCCACAUCAUGUCACCAUGUGCCUCAAUACCACCACGGUACCUCGGAAAGGAGUUGUGACAAUACCUCUCGUACAACACAAUCCACUGCAGCGCACCUUUCCUGGAUCAUAAUCACCCCCUUAUAAACAAGGCAUAGACUCCCCAGCGACCCCCGUGGGCUUAUCUCCGCCACUUCUCAGUCUGGUGCCCCGCAAUGAACCAUGCUAUACAAAAGAUAAAGCCGUUGCCCAUGCUGGCUUGUGGUUGGCACGGUUAAUGUUUCACAACCGAAACUCGUGAACCAGUCCUUAAUUGUCAUGAGCACGACCAUCAAAACCAUGUGCUCACAACCCACCAUUAUCAGGUUUUAGUUGGCACAUUAAUUAAUUAACCAAUCAUGAUAGAACAUCGUGAACUAUCAUUAAGCCAUCAUUAAGUAAUAGUGAGUCAUAAGUUAUCCCAAUAGUGUGCUAAUAUUUCUAAGCAUGGCUAAGCAAUCAUAUCUAAUAUCUAGCUGAACCAAUAUAUAUAAAGUUCAACUAGUCAAGUUAUAUUACCCCAAGGUAUCAAGGAAUAAAGUAAUCAAGAACAAAAGGGCUAUAACAAAGAAUAGGUUAAUUCCACCCAAUGACAUUCGAAAAUAAAUGCAAUAAUUGAAUAGAAACAAUAGCUUUAAAUAGGAUCAACAUGCUCAAAGGGUUGUUUGGGAUCUGUGUGACUUGCCUUGCUGGCCUUGGAACUCUUCAAAUUCUUCUUCUGCAAAAACGGACUCUCCGGUAACGACGGAAUCUAAGAAGAAAAGAGCAAAAUCACCAAAACAGCACAUAAACAAGCAUGAACAGUACAUGUGGAUAUUUUUAACAUGUAGAUCUCAAUUUUAGAAAAAUUUAGAGACUUGAACCAACUAAAUCCGACUAAGAUGAAUUAGUUAUGAAUUUUUGAAGAUUUAAUCGGAUUAAAACACUUAUAUUGAUUUUAAUUGAAUUAUGACGCAAUAAUGAAUUAUUUUUCAAAAGGAAAAGAGGAUUUAUUGCGUCAGCGGCUAGGGUUUCGGUGGACCGGGCGCAUGGGCGACGGUUCACGCGAACGGACGGCCGAGAUCGACUUGAUCCAAAACGGACGGCCGGAAACGGAAAGGAUCGAUCGAAUUUUGAAGGGAACGGCGGCGGCGCGAAACUAGGGUUUCGGGCGGCGGCGGCCGGAGGUUGACGACGACUGACAAGCGGGACCCACCUGUCAGCGACAGCGAGGGCGCGCGCGGGCUGCGGACUGGGCCGGACUGGGCCGAGGAGAGAGAGAAAGGUUUUGGGCCGACUUUCGGCCCAAAGCCAAAAGAGACUUUUUAAAACCUUUUUCAAUUUAAAUUAUUUCUUAAAUGCAAUUCCAUUUAUUAAAAAUACUUCCUUAGCUCAAAUAAAUCCCAGAAAAAUCUAGGAAUUAUAGAAUUAAGCAAAGUAUUUAAUGAAAUUUUAUCUGGCCCCAUUUUAUAUUGGAAUUUAUUAAUUAAAAUUAGAUCUUCUCUUCUAGGCUUUUAAAAUAAAUUCUAAAAAUUCCAUUUAAACAACAAUUUAUAUAUUUUGAAUUUUCAGGGUGUGACACGGCAAUGGCGGCGAGGCUGUGCCGGGCGGCGACGGCGCUAGGGAAUGGUUUGGGGAGGUCCUAGGGAGCUCAAGGACGGUGGUGGCGCGAGGGAUUGGCGAGGGGGCCCAUGGCGGCGCACAGGCGGGCGCGGCGGCGGCGAAGCAGAGCAACGGCGGGGCGGCACGUUUAGGGGGACGAGCGAGCAACCGAACGGCUCGGGGCUUAUCCAAGAUGAUGCAAAUGGCAAGAAUUUGGGCGAGGAGCUCACCGGCGUGCGGAAACGGUAUCGGCGGCGCGGAUGGAGUCGCGGCGAGGCGGACGCGACGGCGGGGCGGCACAGCGCCGAGAGGGCGUGGCCGGGGAAGAAGAGAUGGAGAGGCGCGAGGAUGGGGGCGGCGCGGAGCUCCUCAUCGACUCCUCGUGCUCGCUAGCUCCCCGACACGCACGACGGCAGAGGAGGGCGAGAACGACGACGAACGGCGAGGCGGCAGUGGUGUGAUGGAGGAGAGGAAGCGAGAGGUAUGGGAGGGGGGUGUGGGUUUUAUAGGUGGCGAUGUCGGUUUGAGAGAACCAACCUUGGGGCGGUCAAGGAGAUGAGGCGGGUGGUGCGAGCGGUCAAGCGGCGCAGAGGUGGUGACGCUGGCGGUGGUCGGGGAAAGGGAAAAAGAAGGGGGGAAAGGGGGUUGGUCCUUUGCCAUAUUGAGGAGAGGGGAAGCAGCUGCUUCUCCCAUUCUUGGACGAUGCGGCGUGGAGUGGCGGGGGCCAUGGAUGACGUCGGCGAUGACGGCGGCAGUUAGUUUGUCAUGGAGCGGGGGCAAGGCGGCAGCACGUGGCGUCGGCGGCGCAAGGGCUGAUGGCGGCGGCGUUCGGCCGGUCGGCCACCUCGCGAGCGAGCGCGCGCGCGACGCGGGGGUGCGGCCGGAUUUCGAACGGCGGCGGCGGGAAAUCGGCGCCGAGGAGAGGGAGAUCGAACGAGAGAGAGAGAAACAGCGAGAGAGAGGAAGAGAACGAGAGAGCGAGAGAACUCUCUCUCGGCUCGGCUCACGCGCAUGCAUCGCACGUGCGAGAGGAGGGAGGAGGACGGCAGAGGGAGGAAAUGGGCUGGGGAGGGGCGUUCGGCCCAUAGAACUUGGGGGAGGCAAACUAGACUUUCACAGAGAAAACUGAUUUGGAUAGAAUUGGAGAGAUUUAGGGUUUGGAUUCGAAUUCAAAUUUGAUAUUCGAACUCGAGGGUUUAGGGAUGUAUCAAGGGAAACUCAAGGAGAAGUCAUGGAAAAGAUUCAAAAGGAAUACUUGGGUAUUUGUUCUCGGGAACAUAGGGUGGAGUCAAGGAAAUGAUUUGGAUGAGGAUCGAUUCUCUCGAAAUCGGGAGAAAGAUUUGGCAACGAGUUCAAGGAAGGGAGAGAUUGACUUCAAGAAUUGGGAUUUGGAUGAGAGGGAGUCGCCAACGGGAUUCAAAAAAGGGGAUUUGAAUCUAAAUUUGAUACUUGUACACAAGGGUUCAAGGAGACGAGUAAGGAAACAAAGUGGGAGUUUGAUACUUUCGGGAAUGGGAACAAUUAUUUGGAGAGGAUUCAAGGGAAGGGAUUGACUUUCGGAAUUUGAUUUCGGAGACUCGAAUCGGAAGAGGAAUUUUCGAGGUGGAGGAUUUUGAUUUCAAUGAGAGGGAACAACAGGAUUAAAUUGAGAUCCUUGGCACAACUUAGACUCUCACACAAAGAACGAAAAUUUUCGCGAAUAGGAUUUUGCCGAAUUAGUUUUUAACGUCACGCAAAAAGCGGAGCGUUACAUGCCCGCGUUCCGCGUGGGAGCCGCUAGGAGUCGCUCACCUAGGAUUCGCGAGAGCACGCACACUGCCACCUCCACUGGCGAGUUUAAGUUUGAGAGAGAGAGAGAGAGUCGUGGGAGGGGAGGAGAAGGUGAGGAGAGGAUAAGGACGAAAGGACUCGGUCGAUCGACUCGGCUCAACAGUUUAGGGUGUCGUUUUAUUUAAAAAAUCGGCACCUAUAAGGUUAUUAUAUGUGUCGAUUUUUAUAAAAGAAAAACGGUACAUGCGACUGACAAUAUUUGGGUGUCAGUUUUGUUUUUAUUAAGAACCGGCGUUUUGUAGUAGUGAUAUGUCAUCUCACCAACUAAACUCUAGAUGAAAAAGUAGAAAUUCUAAAACCCAUUCUAUUUCUCCACAUAAGUAUCUUAGGUACGUAAUUGCUAUCUUUUUCUAGUAGUAUUUAUAUAGUCAAAACCAACCACAUCAGUUAGGACAACCAAUCCUAUUAGAAAUCCCUGACGCAUUUAUUCUAACUAUUUCCUAAUCUUCUUAAUUUUGCACUCUCUCCAAAUUUUGAUUUAUUAGCUAGGUCUCUCAAUUCUACUGGCGUUCCCUCACACAUUUAUUCCAAUUCAUUCAUCAAUCUUCUCAAAUUUAGACUACCUCUAAAUUUGACCCCUUUCAAUAUACACAUACAACAUACAUCAUAUCAUACGUAAAUCUGAAUUUUAUAUGCACCGGUCCUUCUCUUAACUAUCUGAACCUCAUUCCUUUAGGGUUUAGUUUCGAUCUUAUCACCAACCAUGCUCCUCAGACCCUCAAGCAACAUUCAAAGCAAAUACAUGAAACUCGCACUGUCUUGUGCAGUUUGUUUCAAAAAGAAAAAAAUUCAAAGAAAAAAAACAUAUUCAAAGCGAAAAUUCAUAGUCCUUUCCACGCCGGUCAAACCAAAGCUGCCAUAGCACCUCGAAACACCAAACUAUUGCUAUUAACAUUUUAUCUAAUUAUCUGUUGCAAUAUAGUCAUCACUGUGAUUUCACACUUACUAGGUAGGUGGUCUGGUGGAAUGAUGCUGUUAUACUGUCACCACUCAUCGAUGCAUGAGUCAGGCGGUCACCAUCACACACACUUACAUUCGACGAUCACAGGAUUUGAGGACAUCUCAACACUCAACAGUGUGAUCGAACGCAUUCAACAGGCCGUCCAUUAAGCAAUACAGUACAUAUCUCGUAUUCUCAUUAUGUGGUUGUUUAAAUCCACGUAGCCAUCACGCAUGAAGCUUACUGGUUACCCUCCAUCAGACAAACAUAUAUAUUCGAUCUUUCUCCGGUCAAGUUCUAGCACAACAAAACACAAGCCAAAACACCAUUUAACCACCUCCAAGCUUCGCAUUCCAAGAGACCGAGCGACUGUUCAGCCAGAGAUUAAUCAGAGAAUGGCUGGAGAAGGAGAUGAUCAACUGAAGCUUCUCGGAUUGUGGGUGAGCCCAUACACUCACCGAGUGAAGCUUGCACUCAGCUUCAAGGGCCUGAGCUACGAGUACGUCGAGGAGGACCUCAGCAACAAGAGCGAGCUGCUUCUCAGCACCAACCCGGUGCACAAGAAGGUGCCCGUGCUCAUCCACAACGGCAAGCCCAUCUGCGAGUCGCAGGUCAUCGUGCAGUACCUCGACGAGGAGUUCCCCAACUCCGGCGUCUCGCUCCUCCCAUCUGACUCCUACGAUCGCGCCAUUGCUCGUUUCUGGGCUGCCUACAUCAACGACAAGGUAAUCGUCAAAUUGCCUCGGUUAAUCGAUCUGAAUUUGCAUCGAUUGAUGUGAUGUUGUGUGCGUGUGCUCGCGUGUGUCGUCGUUGCAGCUGAUGCCGUCGUGGCUGCAGUCGUCGAUGGGCAAGACGGAGGAGGAGAGGGCGGAGGCGCUGAAGCAGACGUUGGAGGCGGUGGCGAACCUGGAGACGGCGUUCAAGGAGUGUUCCAAGGGGAAGCCCUUCUUCGGCGGCGACACCGUCGGGUACCUGGACGUGUCGCUCGGCGCCAUGAUCGGAUGGAUGCGCGCCGGCGAGGCUCUGCACGGGAGGAGGACCUUCGAUGCCACUAGAAGCCCUCUCCUGAACGCGUGGAUGGAGCGCUUCGCCGCGCUGGACGCCGCCAAGGCCGCCAUGCCGGACAACAACAAGCUGGUCGAGUUCGUCAGGGUGAGGCGGGCUGCCGCUGCGAACAACUGAAGCCGAAACAAUACUGUAUUGGUCAGUUCCCAGUUGGUACGAGAUUUGCUCUGCUCCAACAAAGAGUAUCUUAAGGUAUUGAUACCUCACGGUACCAAAUCGUUUCUAACCGUUGAAUCUAACAAUGUCCAUCGAUGGGAAACGAUUUAGUACUGUAAGGUACCGGUACCUCAAUUACUUUUUGCUGAACCGAAACAAAUCUCAUCGUCACUGCUUUGGGCCUUUGGCCAAUUGUCAUUUUUCAAGUUGCAAAAGUGUGAUGUUCUUCCGGGUCAUCCGUUCGAUCGGAUCUCCUUGUUACCGGGACAUCAUUUCUUCCAAUAAAGGAAAAUGUUGAAUUUUGGUAUUUAAAUUGUUUAGUAGUAUGUGAUAUAAAAACUGAAUUUUCUAUUUCAAUUGCGUGCCUAGACGUCAGAUUGUUCAACCAGAUGCAUAUGCUCCAGAUGAAUACAUGUUAUUUAAAUAGUUGCAUAAGAAAUUGAACAAAUAUAUUACAAUGAUAUAGAUCAUUAUAUACGGACACAUAAUUAGCUAGGUUUUCUCUGGAGUGAUUUUACAUUUCUUGAGGAGGUAACGGGAUAUACAAUAUUUUCUAAUAUAAAAUUUAUUAUCUCUUAGUACCUCCAGUAAGGAAUGGAAAUUUGCACAGUACUACCUCUCAAGGACCGUAAAAUUUCUCUUUUCUCUAAGUGCAUAUCAAAUUUAGCGUAUAUGACUCGUGUCAUCAUAAUUUAUCCUAUAAAAAUCUUUGAUUUUUCUAUCAACAUUUAAUCUGCAUGGAAAUAAUUAAUGUAUAUAUGCAUUACUACCUCUCCUUCGUAACUUCAGGAAUGGAUGGUAUGUAUGUCUCAAUCUUUAUUGGCCCCUGUAUUUUAGUUGGUGAUGAGAGUGUAUGAUGGCAAACUCAUCGUCACCAACACCAACUGCCUCUUUUAAAUAAAAAAAUUGAUGUAGCAGAGACUUUUUUUUCUCAUUAUCAUAUAUUGUAUAUGAUGUUUGGACAAAUGAUUUUAAGCCUGCAAUGGCGAACUAUAUCAUUUCUCACAUGCCGUUUAAAUAGUUAUAAUAAAAUUGAAACAAAAUAGGCAACAUACGGAUGUAAAAUGCAGAUGUUAUUCUGAAAAAGAAAACAUAAGGGGGGCAAUAAAGAGUGAUGCUAAGUGUUCUUUUGAAUGGUAGUGUGCAGUUGUUAUUUUUUCAACAUGUAUAUGUUUUUGUACAAUGGAGUUGCACAUGUUUCAUGGAAAUUAAAUGUGCAUAUUUGGAAAUGUAUGUUUUAAUGGGAAUGUGUUUACAAUAUUAUUUGAAUUUUUUUCAUGGAAAUGACCAGAUGUAUUUCAUUGAAAAUGCAAAAAAAAAAAUCAAUACAACAUUGUUGCCACAAUCAAAUGUUCCAUGCAACAUUGUUUUUGUGGGUGAAAAAUGGGCAAUGUACAUAUGUUUUUCGUUUGAAUGAAAAUGUGCACAUAUGUGUCUUCUUUGUAUGAAAAUGCUUAAAAUGGUAGCAUUUCAAAUAAUUAAUCAGAUCAAACAUUAGUGUCACCACGCCUUUUUUUUUCAGUUGUAAGUAUGCACCAUCCUCUUGCUAGGUGUGGUGGAAUGAUUAGGUCAUGUAGGUAGGGUCCAGUAGGGGGCUCUCAUGUAUUCCACAUCAGAAAAAAAAAACCCACCCCUACAAUGGUUAGUUGACUUUACAUUAAUACAUACUAGUUAAAUUGUCACACCCCAAUCUGAUACCGCCGUACAACGGCACCUGACAGGAGCGUGUCGUAGGGAAAACGGCGCAAACCGCUUCCUACGAAACCGCGAUCUCAGUACCAGUCCCAGGACAUAGUGCUGGUACCCACGGUGACAAAUAUGAAUCAUAGCAAUCCUUAAAAUAAAUGGAGGACUUAUUUACCUUAACUUAGGUUGCAGCUCAGACAGCCCGAGAAUACAACCGACGACGCGGACGAGGAAACACCAACAGCAGCAGCGGAACCAACGGUCUAACACCCAACACCACAGGCGACGGCUGGGAACCAGGACGAAACCCAAAUCUUCACUUCACUUUAUCUUCCCUUCAGGGUGGAGGAACUAUAUAUAUAUAUUUAUAUAGAGCAAGGGUAAGUACUUUCGUACUCAGCAAGUCACGGGAACUUAGGUGUUUAAUGCAAGCUUGGAAGAGAGGCAAGGUUGUUUUGCAAAUCUUUUGUUUGAAAUCAUUUUGAAAUCACUAAGUGAUUUAUUUCUUUCUAAGUUUGGGCCGAAAAGAGACUUGCGUCUCGAUUUGACUUUAAGAGAUGUUUUUCAACGGCUCAUUUGGUAAUGUACCGACCUCCCGGGUCAGAUCAUUACUUCUCGGCUCCCAGAGCCAUUCCACUUGAUUAAUCGGCUCCCAGAGCCUUUUUCAUUUUCUCGGACUCCCAGAGUCCAGCUGCCCAGCAGCACAACAAUCCGCUUCCACUCGGAAAGCCUAGUCUAUGAUGCCCGCAGACAUCCCGAAUCACACAGAUUCGUUUCUGACCACUCAGGUCGUCCAUCUGACACAUAGGCUGAUUCUGGUUACGAUUCCCACACCACAACAACUUUUCACAAAGCACAGGCAAACAAAUCUACGCAACGGGAACCACCUCACAUCCGCCCAUGACCGUGGGCACGGCUGUUCGAACAGUUAGUUAACCUCUGCAGAGGGGUACACUUUACCCACAAGAUACGAACUUAUUCCGAACACCCGUCGGUAUCGGAGGUUCGCAACAAAGCCUUUCCCAAGCCGACCCAGGGAUACCUCAUGCCACAUAGAAGGAUCAAAACCUCACAUAAACAUAGGCCAUUUUAGGCGUUCACAAAUCAAACUCCAACCACCUUGAUCGGUAAGUGAGCAAGCUUCUCGUCCUUGCCUUACCAGGAACCCGGUUUGUCCGACCCCGCCCCGGCGUUCCCAACUAUUGGCAUGCGAGGUUUCCCUGAACCGACUAGUUACUUAGCCAGGGUGUCCCAUUCCACCUUGUGGUUGCACUUUGAUUAUGUUCGAUGAGUUUCCCACAGGAAUCGGUCCUUAUAUGCGAAUACGGGACAGUGCCACAUAGGCACAACCCCCGCAUCGCGAGUUUUCACAAUUCAUUUUAUUUUCAAACACAUCGACACCACAUGUCUGGUUUUGAAGGCUUCACAAACCCAUUUCCCAAGUUUUCGACAAACAACGGUGUAUGUGGGAUAUUUGGUAUACGCGCUCAGAGAGCACGAAUACCGAGGUACCACAAGGGUGGAGCGACAAGGAAUCAGGGUAGUACGACCUACGGAAAUUAGUGCGACUACUGGGUAAGUCCGUCGGUUUGGCACGCAAACCGAGGCCAAGCAAGUUAAGUGUGUGAUUCUAAUAAUGCAAGUUGUAAACAAAAUAAUAAUGACUUUUCAAUUAUAGGGGCAAUUGAUCAAAGGGUGACUUGCCUUGCUCAAGGUCUUCACGAAGCUUCACGAAUCUUCGAGAAAACCCGCGAUCGACGAAAAUCCGAUAACCGCAACUAUACGCAAACAAUCGAAAACCUAAACAAAAGACCAAAAGAAAGAUCCUAUUUAGACUAAUUAGUAGUGCCAUUAAAUAGAUCUCAAUUUACGGAAUUAUUGGAAGUGGAACGGAGUCAAUCGGAGUUGCGAAUUGGGUGAUAUGAAUUUUGAAAGUUUAAUUGGAGUUUCUGGAAUAGGAGAGAUGAUUUAUGGAAUUUAUAGAAAUAAUAUUCUCAAGAAUAUUAUUGACAGUCAUUGAAUCCGGGACCAAGGAAAAUGAUUCAUGGAAUUUUGGAAUAAGGAAUUGAUUUAUGGAACAAGGGUGGAAAAGGAAAUCAAGGAGGGAUGUAUACUAGACUUGUUUCGGUGGCAUUGGUGCGGCCCAAAGGCUAACGCGGCUCGGCCGAACCAAAUGGGCCGGCGCGGGCGCGAGGAGGCGGCCCAUGAGGGCGCGCGGGGAGAGAGGGAGGCCCGUCGGGGUGGGCGCGGUCCACCGCGCGGGACCCACAUGGCGGUGGUUGGGUUCACGGUGGGGAGGGUGCACGCGGAGGCGGGCGCUAGGGUUUCGGAUGCGCGCGGUUCGGGCGCGGCGCGCCGGGUGGACGGAUGGCGGCGGGCCCACGUGCAGCCGCACGGCUUGCCGUGGACCGCGCGCACGGGAGGGAAGACGGAGGGAAGAGGCUGACUGGGCGCGACUUGACCCAGUCAAGCGGGCCCGGGGCUGAAGUGGCUGCCACGUGGUCGACCACGCGGGCAGGGGCGAAAGGGGAGGAGGAGGAGGAGGAGGCGCCCGGGAUCGGACGGCCGACGACGCGCGAGGCGUUCCGGCGAGCGGCGGCGAACCGGAGCGAGCGGCCACCGCCGGCAGCUAGAGGAGGUCAGGGGGAAUCUGUUUAACGGCACGGAUUUGAGAGGGGAGGUACGACGGUGGCUAGCGGCGGCGACCAAGCUCGCCGGCACGCCGACGUGGCCGCGCGCGAGAAGAGCUAAGGGUGCGCGGGCUCGGGCUUAGCCGAACCGGUAUGGUGUUGCGACGCGCACGCGGUGACGCGGGACCUGAUGGUCACCGGCGGCGCACGCACGGCGGCGUUAGGCGGCGGCGGAAGCGGCGACACGGCGCGGAGACAAAGGAGAAGGCCGACGGCCUUGGGGCAGCCAGGGGGAGGUCAUGGGGAUCCCCGGGAGCGUGGCGGCGAGAGGAAUCGACGCGAGAGGAGCCGACGACGGUGGAUUGCGGCGGCGGCAAUCACCGGAGAUCAAAAGGGGAAAACACGACGAGACGACGAGGGUUCGAUUCAAAGGGGUGGGAGCAUCUCCGGGGUUCAAGGAAUCCGUUUCCGGCGUCGGAUUGGACGGAGCGGCACCGAGAUUGGCUGGCGACGAGAGGCGGCCUCCGGGACAGAGCAAGAGCGCGUGGCGAGCUAUGGCGAGCGGCGGCGGGCGCGACGCAUCGCGCGGCAGGAGGAGGAUUAUGGUGGGGAGCUCACCAAUCGAAGAGGAGGCAGCGUUGGCGGCGCGGUCGGUGUCGCGGCGAGGUGUUCGCGACGCCAAGGCGGCACGGCACCGAGAGGGCGCGGCCGGGGAAGAAGGGAGGGAGAGGUGGUGCCCGGAGCUCCUCGUCACGCGUCUACGCACGCACCGGCUCCUCCGGUGCUUCGGCAACGGACGGCAACGGCGAGAGCGGGACGAGCAGCAACAAGGCGGCGACGGUGGUUCGGCGGCAAUGGCGCGGUGGGUGUGAGGACUGAGGCGAGUGAAAACGAGAGAGGAAGGGGUUUGGGGUGGUUUGGUUUUAUAGCGGAGGCGAGGUCGGUUUGGGGAGGGGAGAACUGACCUUGGCGGUCAAGUGCUCGGCUGGCGGUAGCGGCGGUUUCGUGGGCGGUGCGAAAGCGGCGACGGCGUGGAUGCGUUGAGUGGCGAAGGCGGUGGAUCGAGCGGUGGAAAUCGAACCGCUGGAGCGCGGGCUGGCGCGGUCGGUCAAGCGGCGCAGAGGUGGUGACGCCGGCAGUGGUCGGGAAAGGGAAAAAGAAGGGGAAAAAGGGGCUUGGUCCCUUGCCAUAAUGAGGGGAGGGAGAGUGAGGAGGAGGAGGAGAGGGAGAGCAGCUGCUUCUCCCACUCUUGGACGGGUGCGGCGUGGAGCGGCGGGGGGGCCAUGGAUGACGUCGACGAUGACGGCGGCGGUCGGUUUGGCAUGGAGCGGGGGCAAGGCGGCAGCGCAUGGCGUUGGCGGCGACCGGCCGGUCGGCCACCUCGCGAGGCGCGCGCGGGAAUGGGCGAAGGCGGUGGGGGUUUUGGGCGGCGACGGCGGGAAAUCGGCGCCGAGGAGAGGGAGAUGGAGCGAGAGAGAGAGAGAGAGAGAGAAACAUAGAGAGAGAGAGGAGGAAGACGAGAGAGCGAGAGAAACAGAGAGAGCGAGCGACGGCUCUCUCUCGGCUCGCAUGCGUGCAACGCACGAGCGAGGGGGGGAGAUGAUGGGCUGGGAGGGGAAAUGGGCUGGGGGAGGAGAAUCGGUCCAUCCAAAAAAAACUCAGGGAGGUAAAGUAGACUUUUACAGAGAAAACUGAUUUGGAUAGAAUUGGAGAGAUUUAGGGUUUGGAUUCGAAUUCAAAUUUGAUAUUCAAACUCGAGGGUUUAGGGAUGUAUCAGGGGAAACUCAAGGAGAAGUCAUGGAAAAGAUUCAAAAGAAAUACUUGGGUAUUUGUUCUCGGGAACAUAGGGUGGAGUCAAGGAAAGGAUUCGAGGCGGGAUUUGAAAAAUUCUGGAUUCGUAGAAGUAUUUGGCGAGGAUUCAAAGGAAGGAUUUGAAUUUCAGAAUUUGAUUUCGGAGACUCGAAUUGUAAGGGGAAUUUGGAUGAGGGGGAGGAUUUUGAUUUCGAUGAGAGGGAACAACGGGAUUAAAUUGGGAUCCUUGGCACAACUUAGACUCUCACGCAAAGAACGAAAAUUUUCGCAAUUAGGAUUUUGCCGAGUUAGUUUUUAACGACUCACGAAAAGCGGAGCGUUACAGAUCCACCCCCCCUUACAAGAAUCUCGACCCCGAGAUUCGAAGGUGGACCACACACACGAAACCAAAAAGGGAUCUUCAGACUUCUUCACAACUUCAGACUCUGCUAGUCUUUCUUUAUCUCGAGAAUGCAUACUUGCCACAAAACGGUCUGGUACUCUGACUCACUUAGCAUUCUUCAUCUUAUUGUGGCUCUGCUCUUGCCUGUGGAACCUGUUCUUCUCCUGCUCUUUCAACCUGCUCGAGAUUCACAACUUUUCCAUUUGUUUCUACUUGCACAUGGUUCAGACGACCUUGUCCAACGGGCGGUGAGGUCAACGAGGCAGAACCACUGUUUGGUGGCUUUGAACUUUUUGGUCCAGAUACGUUGGGAAGGCUUGUUGUUUGUUGAACUUGUUUUGACUUGACUUUCUGAGGGCACUUCAUCUUGGCUUUCUGAGGGCAAUCCCACGAAUAGUGUCCCAUCUCAUGGCAGGUGAAACAUUCGACUCCUGCCUUAUGACCACGUCUUUUUGAAGGUGUAGGGCAUGGUACGGAGUUGCUUCCUUCAUGGCUAUUACUGUUGAUCAUUGUGGCUUGCUGACCAGGUUCUGACAUAGUCGAAAGAGACGUAGAACCGGAACCAUUUGAAUGCUGAGAUGCUUUCUGAUAGUAUUGUGUUGGCGAGUUUGUUUUUCGACACAAACCUUCUUUUGCUUGGAUCCCUAGGGACAUUACUUUGCGUCUCUUGUAUUCUUGCAUCUUUUUCUUUUCUUGGAUGUCUUGGCACAUGUCACAGGAUGCUUUUGCUCUUUUGUCAUCAGGGAAGGUUGGACGUACUGCAUUAACAUUUUGCAAAUUCGGGCUUCCUUGGGGAUAGAAGGGCAUCCUUGAGGUGCUCAUAUUAGCUUGUAGUAGUGCAUCCAUAUAGGGUUUUUGGGGGCAGUGUCUCAUGUAAUGGCCAAUUUCGUGGCAAAUGAAGCAUAUGAGUCCGGGAACGUGUCUGAUCUUCUUUGAUUUGAGGGUGGGGGACUUGGGUAAGUUUUGGCAAGAUUGCAUUGUCUGACAUUGUGGGACAUCUUGCAUGUCAACUUUUGAUGGCAAGGUCUUUCUUUUGUGACAACUUCCUUCUUUAACCAUGCUAUUUUCUUGCGAUACGGAUUUAUUGAUUGAGUUCUGAAGGUUGGGGCAAUUAUUAGCUCGAAGUGGGGUUUUCAUCCCUAUAAUCAUCACAUUUAAGAAUUCUUUGUUCUUCUCUUUAUGGGUAUCAGUGCCUUCUACUGAUUGUGUUCCUUGUAUUUCUGCGGCCUCAUCCUUACUCUUGUCUGGAUUCACCUUGGGCUGUGGUAGUAGCAGUUGUUGUUGUAUAGAAGCCAAAUUUUGAGCUAUUUCUUGUAGUAUCUAAGUCUGAUUGGCUAGAAUCUGAUAAAUAUCCAUUGAGAAGUGUUGAUUUCUAGUUGCAACUUCCUUGUUUGGUCCAGGAACAGUAUUAUCAGUCUUGGCAACUUGGUUGGUGACUUGUUCAGCUAGUUGAUUUGGAUUUUCUGACAAAGCUAGGUCUUCCUUAGAACCAAGGUAGUUGCGGACACAAGUCUGACAGGUUGGUUGAGGCGCCAUCUGCUUCAGAGGGACUGAGAACUGACCAACACAGAAAAUAGAUAAGAAAAGAAGGAAAACAAAAACACUACAUCAAAACGGUUUUCGAAAUCACAGAAGACAUAGGUGGUGUGUUCCAGCCGGUAACCCAACUGGUCUAACACCUGAACACGGACUACCAAACAAAACUCACACACGCACUAGUUCACCACAACUCCUACCGAGCGGGUGACGGUUCUAAGGUUAGCCUACCAACAAGGGCUUAACUAAGACUCCUAGAGGCUUGAGCACACCUUUCUUCAACUGGGCGUGAAGACAGGUUUACUCUAGGAUAAAAGUCAAAACGAACGACUAGCUUCUACUUUUGGACACAAAAGAUUUUUCGCAAAACUAGAGCUAAAGGGGACAACGACACCUUAGCUUUCACAAAUAUUUUUGUACUCAAAUAAUGUCUUCCUAUUAAGGGGUUUCGAUCCUAGGGCCAACCUAUGAUCUGAUACCAUCUCUGUCACACCCCAAUCUGAUACCGCCGUACAACGGCACCUGACAGGAGCGUGUCGUAGGGAAAACGGCGCGAACCACUUCCUACGAAACUGCGAUCUCAGUACCAAUCCCAGGACAUAGUGCUGGCACCCACGGUGACAAAUAUGAAUCAUAGCAAUCCUUAAAAUAAAUGGAGGACUUAUUUACCUUAACAUAGGUUGCAGCUUAGACAGCCCGAGAAUACAACCGACGACGCGGACGAGGAAACACCAACAGCAGCAGCAGCAGCGGAACCAACGGUCUAACACCCAACACCACAGGCGACGGCUGGGAACCAGGACGAAACCCAAAUCUUCACUUCACUUUAUCUUCCCUUCAGGGUGGAGGAACUAUAUAUAUAUAUUUAUAUAGAGCAAGGGUGAGUACUUUCGUACUCAGCAAGUCACGGGAACUUAGGUGUUUAAUGCAAGCUUGGAAGAGAGGCAAGGUUGUUUUGCAAAUCUUUUGUUUGAAAUCAUUUUGAAAUCACUAAGUGAUUUAUUUCUUUCUAAGUUUGGGCCGAAAAGAGACUUGCGUCUCGAUUUGACUUUAAGAGAUGUUUUUCAACAGCUCAUUUGGUAAUGUACCGACCUCCCGGGUCAGAUCAUUACUUCUCGGCUCCCAGAGCCAUUCCACUUGAUUAAUCGGCUCCCAGAGCCUUUUUCAAUUUCUCGGACUCCCAGAGUCCAGCUGCCCAGCAGCACAACAAUCCGCUUCCACUCGGGAAGCCUAGUCUAUGAUGCCCGCAGACAUCCCGAAUCACACAGAUUCGUUUCUGACCACUCAGGUCGUCCAUCUGCCACAUAGGCUGAUUCUGGUUACGAUUCCCACACCACAACAACUUUUCACAAAGCACAGGCAAACAAAUCUACGCAACGGGAACCACCUCACAUCCGCCCAUGACCGUGGGCACGGCUGUUCGAACAGUUAGUUAACCUCUGCAGAGGGGUACACUUUACCCACAAGAUACGAACUUAUUCCGAACACCCGUCGGUAUCGGAGGUUCGCAACAAAGCCUUUCCCAAGCCGACCCAGGGAUAUCUCAUGCCACAUAGAAGGAUCAAAACCUCACAUAAACAUAGGCCAUUUUAGGCAUUCACAAAUCAAACUCCAACCACCUUGAUCGGUAAGUGAGCAAGCUUCUCGUCCUUGCCUUACCAGGAACCCAGUUUGUCCGACCCCGCCCCGGCGUUCCCAACUAUUGGCAUGCGAGGUUUCCCUGAACCGACUAGUUACUUAGCCAGGGUGUCCCAUUCCACCUUGUGGUUGCACUUUGAUUAUGUUCGAUGAGUUUCCCACAGGAAUCGGUCCUUAUAUGCGAAUACGGGACAGUGCCACAUAGGCACAACCCCCGUAUCGCGAGUUUUCACAAUUCAUUUUAUUUUCAAACACAUCGACACCACAUGUCUAGUUUUGAAGACUUCACAAACCCAUUUCCCAAGUUUUCGACAAACAACGGUGUAUGUGGGAUAUUUGGUAUACGCGCUCAGAGAGCACGAAUACCGAGGUACCACAAGGGUGGAGCGACAAGGAAUCAGGGUAGUACGACCUACGGAAAUUAGUGCGACUACUGGGUAGGUCCGUCGGUUUGGCACGCAAACCGAGGCCAAGCAAGUUAAGUGUGUGAUUCUAAUAAUGCAAGUUGUAAACAAAAUAAUAAUGACUUUUCAAUUAUAGGGGCAAUUGAUCAAAGGGUAACUUGCCUUGCUCAAGGUCUUCACGAAGCUUCACGAAUCUUCGAGAAAACCCGCGAUCGACGAAAAUCCGAUAACCACAACUAUACGCAAAUAAUCGAAAACCUAAACAAAAGACCAAAAGAAAGAUCCUAUUUAGACUAAUUAGUAGUGCCAUUAAAUAGAUCUCAAUUUACGGAAUUAUUGGAAGUGGAACGGAGUCAAUCGGAGUUGCGAAUUGGGUGAUAUGAAUUUUGAAAGUUUAAUUGGAGUUUCUGGAAUAGGAGAGAUGAUUUAUGGAAUUUAUAGAAAUAAUAUUCUCAAGAAUAUUAUUGACAGUCAUUGAAUCCGGGACCAAGGAAAAUGAUUCAUGGAAUUUUGGAAUAAGGAAUUGAUUUAUGGAACAAGGGUGGAAAAGGAAAUCAAGGAGGGAUGUAUACUAGACUUGUUUCGGUGGCAUUGGUGCGGCCCAAAGGCUAACGCGGCUCGGCCGAACCAAAUGGGCCGGCGCGGGCGCGAGGAGGCGGCCCAUGAGGGCGCGCGGGGAGAGAGGGAGGCCCGUCGGGGUGGGCGCGGUCCACCGCGCGGGACCCACAUGGCGGUGGUUGGGUUCACGGUGGGGAGGGUGCACGCGGAGGCGGGCGCUAGGGUUUCGGAUGCGCGCGGUUCGGGCGCGGCGCGCCGGGUGGACGGAUGGCGGCGGGCCCACGUGCAGCCGCACGGCUUGCCGUGGACCGCGCGCACGGGAGGGAAGACGGAGGGAGGAGGCUUACUGGGCGCGACUUGACCCAGUCAAGCGGGCCCAGGGCUGAGGUGGCUGCCACGUGGUCGGCCACGCGGGCAGGGGCGAAAGGGGAGGAGGAGGAGGAGGAGGAGGCGCCCGGGAUCGGACGGCCGACGACGCGCGAGGCGUUCCGGCGAGCGGCGGCGAACCGGAGCGAGCGGCCACCGCCGGCAGCUAGAGGAGGUCAGGGAGAAUCCGUUUAACGGCACGGAUUUGAGAGGGGAGGUACGACGGUGGCUGGCGGCGGCGACCAAGCUCGCCGGCACGUCGACGUGGCCGCGCGCGAGAAGAGCUAAGGGUGCGCGGGCUCGGGCUUAGCCGAACCGGUAUGGUGUUGCGACGCGCACGCGGUGACGCGGGACCCAAUAGUCACCGGCGGCGCACGCACGGCGGCGUUAGGCGGCGGCGGAAGCGGCGACACGGCGCGGAGACAAAGGAGAAGGCCGACGGCCUUGGGGCAGCCAGGGGGAGGUCAUGGGGAUCCCCGGGAGCGUGGCGGCGAGAGGAAUCGACGCGAGAGGAGCCGACGACGGUGGAUUGCGGCGGCGGCAAUCACCGGAGAUCAAAAGGGGAAAACACGACGAGACGACGAGGGUUCGAUUCAAAGGGGUGGGAGCAUCUCCGGGGUUCAAGGAAUCCGUUUCCGGCGUCGGAUUGGACGGAGCGGCACUGAGAUUGGCUGGCGACGAGAGGCGGCCUCCGGGACAGAGCAAGAGCGCGUGGCGAGCUAUGGCGAGCGGCGGCGGGCGCGGCGCAUCGCGCGGCAGGAGGAGGAUUAUGGUGGGGAGCUCACCAAUCGAAGAGGAGGCAGCGUUGGCGGCGCGGUCGGUGUCACGGCGAGGUGUUCGCGACGCCGAGGCGGCACGGCACCGAGAGGGCGCAGCCGGGGAAGAAGGGAGGGAGAGGUGGUGCCCGGAGCUCCUCGUCACGCGUCUACGCACGCACCGGCUCCUCCGGUGCUUCGGCAACGGCGAGAGCGGGACGAGCAGCAACAAGGCGGCGACGGUGGUUCGGCGGCAAUGGCGCGGUGGGUGUGAGGACUGAGGCGAGUGAAAACGAGAGAGGAAGGGGUUUGGGGUGGUUUGGUUUUAUAGCGGAGGCGAGGUCGGUUUGGGGAGGGGAGAACUGACCUUGGCGGUCAAGUGCUCGGCUGGCGGUAGCGGCGGUUUCGUGGGCGGUGCGAAAGCGGCGACGGCGUGGAUGCGUUGAGUGGCGAAGGCGGUGGAUCGAGCGGCGGAAAUCGAACCGCUGGAGCGCGGGCUGGCGCGGUCGGUCAAGCGGCGCAGAGGUGGUGACGCCGGCAGUGGUCGGGAAAGGGAAAAAGAAGGGGAAAAAGGGGCUUGGUCCCUUGCCAUAAUGAGGGGAGGGAGAGUGAGGAGGAGGAGGAGAGGGAGAGUAGCUGCUUCUCCCACUCUUGGACGGGUGCGGCGUGGAGCGGCGGGGGGGCCAUGGAUGACGUCGACGAUGACGGCGGCGGUCAGUUUGGCAUGGAGCGGGGGCAAGGCGGCAGCGCAUGGCGUUGGCGGCGACCGGCCGGUCGGCCACCUCGCGAGGCGCGCGCGGGAAUGGGCGAAGGCGGUGGGGGUUUUGGGCGGCGACGGCGGGAAAUCGGCGCCGAGGAGAGGGAGAUCGAGCGAGAGAGAGAGAGAGAAACAUAGAGAGAGAGAGAGGAGGAAGACGAGAGAGCGAGAGAAACAGAGAGAGCGAGCGACGGCUCUCUCUCGGCUCGCAUGCGUGCAACGCACGAGCGAGGGGGGGGAGAUGAUGGGCUGGGAGGGGAGAUGGGCCGGGGGAGGAGAAUCGGUCCAUCCAAAAAAAACUCAGGGAGGUAAAGUAGACUUUUACAGAGAAAACUGAUUUGGAUAGAAUUGGAGAUUUAGGGUUUGGAUUCGAAUUCAAAUUUGAUAUUCAAACUCGAGGGUUUAGGGAUGUAUCAGGGGAAACUCAAGGAGAAGUCAUGGAAAAGAUUCAAAAGGAAUACUUGGGUAUUUGUUCUCGGGAACAUAGGGUGGAGUCAAGGAAAGGAUUCGAGGCGGGAUUUGAAAAAUUCUGGAUUCGUAGAAGUAUUUGGCGAGGAUUCAAAGGAAGGAUUUGAAUUUCAGAAUUUGAUUUCAGAGACUCGAAUUGUAAGGGGAAUUUGGAUGAGGGGGAGGAUUUUGAUUUCGAUGAGAGGGAACAACGGGAUUAAAUUGGGAUCCUUGGCACAACUUAGACUCUCACACAAAGAACGAAAAUUUUCGCAAUUAGGAUUUUGCCGAGUUAGUUUUUAACGACUCACGAAAAGCGGAGCGUUACAUAAAUCGUGAAUUUGCAUAUUUGAUCUGAAGUUGCGUUUCUUCGGAUUGUAUAGCGCCCGUCUCUCCUCUCGUCUCCUUGUUCUUUUCGCUAGAUGAGCCGAUGUCGCGCCGUUGUCACCUGAAGCAUCGAUGUUUCCCUGCUCUCAUUUAUCUUUCUUCCAUGUAAGCAAAUUUGUCUAGGUGACACCAGAGAGAGACGGUAAAUAAUAGUAAAUAAUAGCCUUUGUACAUUCCCUUAUGUAGUUGUGCAGUCUAUUUUUGGUGUGCGAGUUCGGAGUUCGAAGUGUUCUGAAGAAUCUCUUCUUGUAAUUUCUAGAAAUGGCAUUGAGGAAAUUACCAGUCUUGGCUUAAAAACAAGUCUGUCUCGUCAUUCACCGUGCUUAUUUAGGACUUGUUCAACUCCUGUAGAAAUUCUCGAAAAUUCCUCGACUUUAAAUGGAGCCUUACCAUUUUUUAGCAGAUGCAACAACUAUUAUACUCCUACCUGAUGACUGAUGAGGACUGUGCAGCGAUCGAUAUGUGCAUGUGGCCAUGUCCGAAGCUAAUUAAAGGACGGAAGGACCACAAGUUGGUGUAUAAUAAUGGAGAGGGCAUUGAAUCAUUGUUUCAAUAUCCCCAUCAGAUAAUAUUCAAUAACUCCUAUGGUGACGUCAAGCAUCAAUACAUGAAGGUUACUUGUUACCACCAUCAGACAAGCAUAUAAUUGAUUGCUCUGAUCAAGCGAUAGCAAAACAAAAUACAAACCAGAACAGUCUCAAAGCUUCGCCCAAGCAGAGAAGAAUGGCCGCCGGAGGAGGAGGAGGAGACGAGCUGAAGCUGCUCGGAUUGUGGGCGAGCCCGUACGUCCUGCGAGCGAAAUUCGCGCUCAGCUUCAAGGGCCUGAGCUACGAGAACGUCGAGGAGGACCUCCACAACAAGAGUGAGCUGCUCCUGAGCUCCAACCCGGUGCACAAGAAGGUGCCCGUGCUCAUCCACAACGGCAAGCCCAUCUGCGAGUCGCAGAUCAUCGUGGAGUACGUCGACGAGGCGUUCCCUGACGCCGGCGAGUCCCUUCUCCCCUCCGACCCUUACGACCGCGCCGUCGCUCGCUUCUGGGCCGCCUACAUCAAUGACAAGGUAAAAAACGACCAAUUGCCAGAGAAAUCAAGAGAGAAUAGCUGAUGAUGAGGGGUGUGUGUGUGUUUGCAUUGUCGUCGCAGUUCAUGCCGGCGUGGCAGAAGGCGUCGUUGGGCCUCACGGAGGAGGAGAAGGCGGAGGCGGUGAAGCAGAUGCUCGCCGCGAUCGAGAACCUGGAGACGGCGUUCAAGGAGUUGUCCAAGGGGAAGCCCUUCUUCGGCGGCGACACCGCCGGGUACCUCGACGUCACGCUCGGCGCCGUGGUCGGCUGGGCGCGCGCCGGCGAGGUCCUGUUCGGGAGGAAGCUCUUCGACGCCACUAGGAGCCCUCUCCUGGCGGCGUGGAUGGAGCGGUUCGUCGCGCUGGACGCUGUCAAGGCGGUGUUGCCGGACAAUGCCGAGCUGAUCGAGUAUGGCAAGAUGAGGAUGGCGCACUACGCCAAGCUUGCUGCCGCCUUGGCUGCUGCGAACAAGAAGUGAGCCGGCGAAGCAAACCUGUAGUUGGUGUGUGUCCGUUCUCGUUGCUCGUGGUCUCGUGGAGGAUGAAAGCUGGUGCACCAUAGUCCUUCCACACCGUGAGGUUGAGUUGUGACUUUUUUUUUCUUCCAGUGAUCCGUUCGAUCGGAUCGUCAUGUGAUUCUGGCGCAUUUAACUCAAUAAAAGAAAGGAAGAAGUUCAAAUUACCCGCUUAAACUAUUGCGAUGGUCCAAAUAAUUCGUUAAACUAGAAAACUAUAAAUUCAAUACACGUACUUUAAAUCAGGUAAAUAACUCUUUCAAAAUUAUUCUAGACCGGCUCGAGAUAGUACGCGUGGCGUCAAGGUGACAAUCCAAUUAGAAAAAGAAAAUCAUAGCCCAGAUAUCUCAUCCCUCUCUCUCUACAUGUCUCUGUUGGGUGGGUGCGGUUAGAGGCGGAGAUCGGUUAAUUUGGAGCCGGGGCCUGACAGCAUAGGUUGUUAGAGGUUGGAGGUGGAACUCGAUUGGCGAGGAUGCUGAAGGCUGCUAGCGGGAGCAAAGCUCGGUGGUAUAGAUGGCAAUAAGGCCCGCCCCACCCAGGCACAGCCCGAGGCGAUCGGGCCUGCACGGCACGGUCGGCACUUCGGGCCGUGCCGUGCCUGUCCACAGGCUGCACCUCAGGCCCAGGCACGCCCCACCAGCAGUCGGGCCGUGCCGGAACAAAAAUUACCGGGGGUCCAAUGCUUACUAAUUAUCUAAUUUUUUACUUAUAUACUAAUUAACACCAUAUAAGUUAGUUAGAAUUAAAUAAUUUACCCGGGGUCCGAGGAUCCCGGGAAAAUGUACCUAGGAUCGCCACUGGUGCCAGCCCGAAGGCACGGGUGGCCCAUCGUGUCUUUUUUGAAAUAAGUCUAUUUCAUAUCCUUCUCUUUGGGCUAUGAUAUAUAUAUAUAUAUAGCUAAAUAAGUUUAGGCCGUGCCAUAUAGUACGUCUAUUUUUCCUCUAUAUUUUUUGUGUCGUGCCUUACAUAUGGUUGAAAAUAAAUCUGUUUAACAUCCCUGAACUUCGUGCCAGGCUGUGUCGGCCCAGCGUGUCGAGGUAGCAGCCUAGGCACGGCACGGCUGUCGGGCACGGCCGGCACGAGCACGACCCGAGUCGGGCCGUGCCGUCAAGCCUUGAGCCAUAUGGCUAUCUAAACUCGGUGGAGAAGUAUUAAUUAAUAUUCUACCAAUAUUAGCACCAAUUACAGUAAUUUUAUUUGUUGAUUGUUAAGUUUUACUUCUAGUAGAAUAAAUUAGUCUAGUACUAAAUACUUAAAAUAUAGCUAUAUCUAUUAUAUAGAUUUAUAUUAGAAAUAUUAGAUAUAUUUUAGAACAGAGGAGAGUACGUAAGAUAUAGUAUAAGAGCAAAUUCAAUGUAUAUGUAACAGUUGAUCAUAUCCGGUGGAAAUGACAUUAGUUAAUACCAGCUCUACAAUGUUAUAGGGAUGAAAUGAAAUUAAGGUGGGUUCUACCCAAUCCCAUCAAGCCAUAAAAAUCCGGUGAACUAGUGUGAAUAAUAAGUUAAUAAAAUAAUUAUAUUUAAUUUAUUGGGCACAACUUAAAUUAAGUUAAGAUCAAUUUUUAAAUCUUAAAGUUUGUGGUGCGUUUGCGCAAUGUUUUAAGUGUUGUAUUAAUUGUUUAAUUUUUUUUAAGUAAUGAUGCCCUAAUAAAAAACUAAAAAAGGAACGGUCUAGAUUAACCUACAACCAAUGGACCAUAUACUUAUUAAUUCUGCAGCAACUGAGCCUUUGUUUAAAAAAGAAUAAAUCAAAGGCAAACAGCAUACGCAUCUUUCUAGCUGGAAAAAUCGGCACAAAGGUAGCAUCAUGGAUGACGCUUUGAUGCACGGCUCCAUUCUCCACAAUCACCCACAAGUCGAAAACCCAACCUGAAGUCCUGAACACAGAACACCAAGAGAACCCACUAACGCAACACACAUACACACAAACAUCGACACAUCGUGUCCAUCGGAGGCACAGGAGAGAUGGCCGGCGCCGGACGCGACGAGCUGAAGCUGCUCGGCAUGUGGGCCAGCCCGUAUGUCAGCAGAGCCAAGCUCGCGCUCCAACUCAAGGGCGUGAGCUACGAGUACAUCGAGGAGGAUCUCGGCAACAAGAGCGACCUCUUCCUCCGCUCCAACCCGGUGCACAAGACGGUGCCGGUGCUCAUCCACAACGGCAACCCCAUCUGCGAGUCGAGCAUCAUCGUGCAGUACAUCGACGAGUCCUUCCCCUCCUCCGCCGCCUCCCUCCUCCCCGCCGACCCCUACGACCGCGCCGUCGCUCGCUUCUGGGCCGCCUACAUCGACGACAAGGUACGCGCGCGUGUAAAUUGCAACUUAACUCUCGUGUAUUUUCACCGGUGCGACGCCGCUCACCGGCGUGUGGACUGUGCAGCUAGCGGCGCCGUGGAGAAUGGUGUACAGGGUGAAGACGGAGGAGGAGAGGGACGAGCUCAUGAAGCAGACGCUCGCGGCGGUGGACGUGCUGGAGGGAGGACUGAAGGAGUGCUCCAAGGGGAAGGGAUGCUUCUUCGGCGGCGACAGCGUCGGCUACGUCGACGUCGUGCUGGGUGGCCUCGUGUCGUGGGUGCACGCCAGCGACAAGCUCUCCGGCGCCAAGCUCUUCGACGCCGCCAAGGCGCCGCUGCUGGCGGCGUGGCUGGGGCGCUUCGGCGAGCUGGAUGCCGCCAAGGCCGUCCUGCAGGACGUCGACAAGGUGGUCGAGUACGCCAAGAAGUUCCAGCCAAGGGAUUCCGGCACGGCUGCAGAUCGACAAGCAGUAAACUAGGCCGGCAUUGCGACGUCCAAGAGAAGUACUGAGAUCUGCUGCAGAUUAUUGAAUUAUUCAAUGCCACUUUUGUUGACUAUGUUAGCUGAUUCCUAUCAAGAACCUGAUCCACGUUCUCUCAAAAGUAAAAGAUGCGGAGUGUUGUGCCUGCCCAAACAGAUGUGAUGCGUCUCCCGGCUCCGAUUUUUUUUUAUUUUAUGAACUUUAAAUUUUUAAUUUAAAAAUAAACCCUUUCAAAAAUAUAUUUUCCAGAUCUAAACACUAACACUAUCACAACAGUCUAGUUGGCAUGACAGCGUGUUAUUUGGUCACACCGGUCUGGCUGGCAUGGCAUUAGUUGAUCACGCCACCCUCGUUGGCAUGGCGGGACAUAACUGUCACGGCCGCUAUGUGUAGCGUGUCGAUAUUAUUUUGCCACGGGCUGACGUCGCCAAAUGGUUCAAAUUCUGUAAAUAAAUUUUGUAAGAGUCUAUUUUUAAAAUUAAAAAAUUCCCUAGCUCAUAUUAUAGAAGUAACUUAAAAGAAAAGAAAAGAAACUUGUCACACGGCAUUAUAAGUAAAUCUGUUAUGGGGGUAAAAAUAUGAGUCUAUCCAGAAAUUAAAUUUAAUCAGUAUAAAUUAUGAAAUUGACUAAAACUGAUAAUAAAAUAAACAACUCAGAAAAUUAUAAAUGUAUAAAAAGUAAUUUAAUUAAAUCUAAAAGUAAUUUUUAUAUGUAAUAAAAAUAACUUUUACAACAUAGUUUUUUUAUCACAAUAUAAUUAUAUAAGAUCUUAUUGUAAAGAUUUAAUUGCAACGUACAUAAUGGUGUAAUCGGAUAAAUAAUUUUAGAGAAAAAUUUAUAAGAAGAAAAAAUGGCAUGUGCUGUUGUGUGUACUUUAUUGGUUAGUUCUAUAAUAUAUUGAUUAAAUUUAAUUUAUAGAUAGACUAAUAUUUUACCUCAUAAUAGAUUUACUUUUAAUGCCGUUGUUUUGUUUUAAGUUACUUCUAUAAUAUGUGUGAUGGGGAAAAGAAUAUGCCACCUCAUUGGGCUUUUAUCGCGGCCUUAUUUAUUGUUAGUGGGCAUUUCGAUAGGCCUAGUUAACUGAGGGCCCACAAGCCUUAUUACUAACAGAUCUUCCCCACAGGCCCAUAACAAAUCUUGGUUCAUAAAGUGGUUUGAUAUAUACUAACCCUGAAUAAGACAACUAGAGAAACGCAUAAAGUGGACAGUCUAAGUUCUUAAAAGAAAUAGAAAGGGAAAAUUUUGAAUUGAAAAUGCGAAGAUCAACCUUUUUUUUUAAUUCUUGCGAGCUAUUUUAUCCACAUGUGACAUGCCCCCGUGGCCUUAUUUUAGCUGAACAGUGUUCUACGGUUCUACCGAACCCAUUCAUCACCUUGUAAAUUAUAUUGGCACAAACCCAGUACUCGUGGAAUCAACGGGAGGUUUGUAUAUUCCUGGCAAGAUCCUCUCUCAAGUCAAACCGCAAAUGCCUUCAUGGUGGUAAUUUCCUCGGCUUCUCGUGCAAGGAAGACAUGUCUGCAUCUCCAUAGUCAAACCUCUGCAUACGUUGCAACUUGCAACUUAAGCAACCGAUCAAGUCGGAUUUUAUAUACGCAGGCGCAUACUUGAUUUUGAUUAGGAAAUCUGAAAACUCCCCGGGCGUAGUGCAGGAAAUGGCAGGAGGAGGAGGAGCAGGCGAGCUCAAGCUGCUCGGACACUGGGCGAGCGCCUACGUCACCAGAGUGAAGCUCGCGCUCCACCUCAAGGGCGUGAGCUACGAGUACGUCGAGGAGGAUCUCCGCAACAAGAGCGACCUCCUCCUCGCCUCCAACCCGGUGCACAAGACG